UACGUAGGGAGCAAGCGUUGUCCGGAAUCAUUGGGCGUAAAGAGCGCGUAGGCGGCCCUGUAAGUCCGUUCUGAAAGUCGGAGGCUCAACCUCCGAAAGCGGAUGGAUACUGCAGGGCUAGAGUCCGGAAGAGGCGAGUGGAAUUCCUGGUGUAGCGGUGGAAUGCGCAGAUAUCAGGAGGAACACCAACGGCGAAGGCAGCCUCGCUGGGACGGUACUGACGCUGAGGCGCGAAAGCGUGGGGAGCGAACAGG
rnacentral:rRNA from 1 species